UACGGGGGGGGCAAGCGUUGUUCGGAAUUACUGGGCGUAAAGCGCGCGUAGGCGGAUCUGCAAGUCGGGCGUGAAAUCCCUAGGCUCAACCUAGGAACUGCACUCGAAACUGCGUUUCUUGAGUAUCGGAGAGGAAAGCGGAAUACCUGGUGUAGAGGUGAAAUUCGUAGAUAUCAGGUGGAACACCAGUGGCGAAGGCGGCUUUCUGGACGAUAACUGACGCUGAGACGCGAAAGCGUGGGGAGCAAACAGG
rnacentral:rRNA from 1 species